AUUAUAGUAAAAAAUAAAUAGUAAAAAAAUGUAAUUCAAUAAUAUAAGAAGAAAUAAAAAAUUACUUAUCGGUUCAAUGAAACAAAUAUAUAAUUAUUAAUUAUAAUAUUAUAUCAUUUAUUCCUAAGCUCCAACAUGAUGAAAUUGAGUUCUAGCUUGAUGAAAUUGGAGUGGCUCAUUCUUGGUUGUGUUUCAUAGCUCUAUUGAGCUACGUUGUUCAACGAAAAACAAAUUACAAAAGAUUAUGGAUAAAAAUGGGUAUAGCUGCAUGAUAAAUCAUGAUCAUUAAAUACAGGGAUAUUUUUGUCAAAUAAUAAAAAGAUUUCAUUACUGUUAUGAACUACUCUAAUUAUAAAGCUGAUACAAAAUGUAGCUAAUAGGCAUUUUACCAGCUAUCAGUUGUUUUUCUUUAAAGGGUUCACCAAACAAUGUAGUUAUUAAAGGCUCAAGACGCAUUGAGGCACCAAGAGAUCUAGAAGCCUAGGUGCAAGGCACAAAG
rnacentral:misc_RNA from 1 species